rnacentral:lncRNA from 1 species
AAAAACUUUGUUCCUUUGAUGGCCCAUGACAGCUCUUAUCGCGAAGUCACUUGUGUCACACAUCAAUUCAAAUGACAAAUCCUAGUCUGGUGUAACGAUUAUGGAUGAUGAAACUAACCGACUUUUCAAAUCUUUGAAAGCUCUUAAGCACUUAUCAUAAUUUUUUUUUCAUGUCCUUCUCCAAUAAUUUGCAUAAGGGUUUAACAAUUUUGGGGAAGUCCUUGAUAAAUCUUUGAUAGAAAUCGG